AGCCCGCAGCCCGCACGGGAGAAAGCCCGCCCCGCUCAGCCCCGGUGUCCACUCGACCCGGAAGAGAAGGAAGGGAGCUGGACCAGAGCUCGGGAGUGGGAGCCGGCGCCGGACCUCGGCGGGGCUUCUCUCCCCGGCGCCUCGCCAGAGCCCAAAUCCCGGGUUUGAACAGGGGAUAAGAGGCACGUGCAGACGUUUCCGUGGCCACGGGCUGGCCCAGACCGCCCGCCUCUCGCCUUGUCAAACUCACCCCGGACCAGGGAAGGCAGAAAACAGGACGCAGUUCCCAUUCAGAAACUAAUCUUCUCCAUCAACUCAUUACUUCACUACUGGCUUACAUGACUUCCUGAAAAUUGUUCUCUUUCCUUUGCUGAAUCAGAUCUUUGAAAUAUGCCCAUGGAUAACAUAACAAAAUAACUUCUCCAAAGGAGGAUAGCGCUUCAGUGAGGACACGCAGCCCAGGAGAAUCAGUUUAUGUUUGGCUCUGGUGAUAGCAACAUUGAGACGUCGCCAAUCUUUCAAGAGUUCACCAAGCUGUAAAAUAAAUAAUUUUAGAUUCUUUGAGUUUUCUUACACUGUA